rnacentral:rRNA from 1 species
GUUGGCUUAGAAGCAGCCACUCAUUUAAAGAGUGCGUAAUAGCUCACUAGUCGAGUGAUUGUGCGCCGAAAAUGUAACGGGGCUAAAAUUCAUACCGAAGCUUAGGCUUUGCACACUUUGUGUGCGAGGGGUAGAUGAGCGUUGUGUAAGUCUGCGAAGCUACACCGAAAGGAGUAGUGGAGAUAUCACAAGUGAGAAUGCCGGAAUGAGUAGCGAGAAUUAUGUGAGAAUCAUAAUGGUCGAAAAUCUAAGGUUUCUUGAGGAAGGUUCGUCCGCUCAAGGUAAGCCGGGAGCUAAGGCGAGGCCGAGAGGCGUAGUCGAUGCACAUACGGUAAAGAUUCCGUAGCCACCGAAGUCGUUAAAUACAGGGACACAGGAACAUAGCCUAACCCCACCGUUGGUUGAGUGGGGCGUAAGGGAGCGAAAAAUAGUAGCGAAGUAGGUGAUUGUACACUGGCGAGAAAAGCUGUAUGUAUUGAUAAGGUGCCCGUACCGCAAACCGACACAGGUAGAUGAGGAGAGAAUCCUAAGACCAGCGGGAGAAGUGUUGUUAAGGAACUCGGCAAAAUGACCCCGUAACUUCGGGAUAAGGGGAGCCUACGCGAGUAGGCCGCAGAGAAUAGUCUCAAGCGACUGUUUAGCAAAAACACAGGUCUAUGCUAAAUCGAAAGAUGAUGUAUAUGGGCUGACGCCUGCCCGGUGCUGGAAGGUUAAGGGGAAGUGUUAGAGCAAUCGAAGCACUGAACUUAAGCCCCAGUAAACGGCGGCCGUAACUAUAACGGUCCUAAGGUAGCGAAAUUCCUUGUCAGGUAAGUUCUGACCCGCACGAAUGGCGUAACGACUUGAGAGCUGUCUCAACAACAUACCCGGCGAAAUUGAAGUACUGGUAAAGAUGCCAGUUACCCGUGAUAAGACGGAAAGACCCCAUGGAGCUUUACUGUAACUUGAUAUUGAAUUUUUGUAUUACAUGUACAGGAUAGGUGGGAGACAGAGAACUAAUGCCGCCAGGUGUUAGGGAGUCGAUGUUGGGAUACCACUCUUGUAAUAUGAAGGUUCUAACCUGCACCCGUGAAUCCGGGUGGGGGACACUGUCAGGUGGACAGUUUGACUGGGGCGGUCGCCUCCUAAAAGGUAACGGAGGCGUUCAAAGGUUGGUUCAGCACGGACGGAAAUCGUGCAACGAGUGCAAACGCAUAAACCAGCCUAACUGCGAGACCGACAAGUCGAGCAGUAACGAAAGUUGGAGUUAGUGAUCCGGCGGUAUGAGAGUGGAAUUGCCGUCGCUCAACGGAUAAAAGCUACCCUGGGGAUAACAGGCUGAUCUCCCCC